rnacentral:sRNA from 1 species
UCCGAUGAUGAUCAAAUCAUAACUUUCG